rnacentral:rRNA from 1 species
CCUACGGGAGGCUGCAGUAGGGAAUCUUCCACAAUGGGCGAAAGCCUGAUGGAGCGACGCCGCGUGGGUGAAGAAGGUCUUCGGAUCGUAAAACCCUGUUGUUAGAGAAGAAAGUGCGUGAGAGUAACUGUUCACGUUUCGACGGUAUCUAACCAGAAAGCCACGGCUAACUACGUGCCAGCAGCCGCGGUAAUACGUAGGGGGCAAGCGUUAUCCGGAUUUAUUGGGCGUAAAGGGAACGCAGGCGGUCUUUUAAGUCUGAUGUGAAAGCCUUCGGCUUAACCGGAGUAGUGCAUUGGAAACUGGGAGACUGGAGUGCAGAAGAGGAGAGUGGAACUCCAUGUGUAGCGGUGAAAUGCGUAGAUAUAUGGAAGAACACCAGUGGCGAAAGCGGCUCUCUGGUCUGUAACUGACGCUGAGGUUCGAAAGCGUGGGUAGCAAACAGGAUUAGAUACCCGGGUAGUC